rnacentral:rRNA from 1 species
UAUGGAGCAAGCGUUAUCCGGAUUUACUGGGUGUAAAGGGAGCGCAGGCGGUUUGGCAAGUCCGAUGUGAAAUGCCGGGGCCCAACCCCGGAACUGCAUUGGAAACUGCCAGGCUAGAGUGCCGGAGAGGUAAGUGGAAUUCCUAGUGUAGCGGUGAAAUGCGUAGAUAUUAGGAAGAACACCAGUGGCGAAGGCGGCUUACUGGACGGUAACUGACGCUGAGGCUCGAAAGCGUGGGGAGCAAA